CCUACGGGAGGCAGCAGUGGGGAAUAUUGCACAAUGGGGGAAACCCUGAUGCAGCGACGCCGCGUGAGUGAAGAAGUAUCUCGGUACGUAAAGCUCUAUCAGCAGGGAAGAAAAUGACGGUACCUGACUAAGAAGCCCCGGCUAACUACGUGCCAGCAGCCGCGGUAAUACGUAGGGGGCAAGCGUUAUCCGGAUUUACUGGGUGUAAAGGGAGCGUAGGCGGCAGUACAAGUCUGAAGUGAAAUCCCGGGGCUUAACCCCGGAACUGCUUUGGAAACUGUGCGGCUGGAGUGCAGGAGGGGUAAGCGGAAGUCCUAGGGGAGCGGUGAAAUGCGUAGAUAUUAGGAGGAACACCGGUGGCGAAGGCGGCUUACUGGACUGUAAAUGACGUUGAGGCUCGAAAGCGUGGGGAGCAAACAGGAUUAGAUACCCUUGUAGUC
rnacentral:rRNA from 1 species